rnacentral:pre_miRNA from 12 species
UAUGUGACAUGCAGUGCAGCCACCCAUAAAGUAGAAAGCACUACUAGACAGGACUGAACGCUGUAGUGUUUCCUACUUUAUGGAUGAGUGUACUGGGCGCUACAGGA